AUUGAACGCUGGUGGCAGGCUUAACACAUGCAAGUCGAACGCCCCGCAAGGGGAGUGGCAGACGGGUGAGUAACGCGUGGGAACGUACCUUUCGCUUCGGAAUAUUCCCGGGAAACUGGGAGCAAUGCCGAAUACGCCGUAUUGGGAAAGAUUUAUCGGCGAAAGAUCGGCCCGCGUUAGAUUAGGUAGUUGGCGGUGUAAUGGACCACCAAGCCUACGAUCUAUAGCUGGUCUGAGAGGAUGAUCAGCCACACUGGGAUUGAGACACGGCCCAGACUCCUACGGGAGGCAGCAGUGGGGAAUCUUGGACAAUGGGCGCAAGCCUGAUCCAGCCAUGCCGCGUGAGUGAAGAAGGCCUUAGGGUUGUAAAACUCUUUCGCCGGAGAAGAUAAUGACGGUAUCCGGAGAAGAAGCCCCGGCUAACUUCGUGCCAGCCGCCGCCGUAAAAC
rnacentral:rRNA from 1 species